rnacentral:snoRNA from 1 species
UAGUUCUUUGAUACGAACGCUUCCUAUUCACUGCACCAUACUGUUCAUGUAUGAAUGGAGGGGAAAAGGAAAGCCAGAGCAAUACGAAUAACGACCUCAUACCGAGAUCACUUAACUGUAGUGAUACUUGGAUCUUGCGUUUUCGAUACAGAC